rnacentral:rRNA from 1 species
UACGUAGGGUGCGAGCGUUAAUCGGAAUUACUGGGCGUAAAGCGUGCGCAGGCGGUUUUGUAAGCCAGAUGUGAAAUCCCCGGGCUUAACCUGGGAAUGGCAUUUGGGACUGCAAGGCUGGAGUGCGGCAGAGGAGACUGGAAUUCCUGGUGUAGCAGUGAAAUGCGUAGAUAUCAGGAGGAACACCAGAGGCGAAGGCGGAUUGCUGGGCCAACACUGACGCUGAGACGCGAAAGCUAGGGUAGCAAACGGG